ACGUGUGUUGUUUCCUACGUGUGUUGUUGUCCAGGAGCUGGCAGGUCUCAUUGAGAGGGCUUUAAACUAGGUAAGAAGGGGGAUGGGGCUGAAGCAAGGAUUGUUGGGGCUGUACCAGGGGGAACAAUGGCAAGGCAGGAGGAUGAGGUAAUGGCCCAGCUGAAGUGCAUCUACAGCAAUGCACGCAGCAUGGGUAACAAACAGGAGGAGCUGGAAGCCAUCGUGCAGCGGGCAGGCUAUGACUUGGUUGCCAUCACAGAAACCUGGUGGGACCAGUCUCAUGACUGGAGUGCUGCAAUGCCUGGCUAUAAGCUCUUCAGAAGGGACAGGCAGCACAGAAGGGGUGGCGGUGUGGCUCUCUAUAUUAGAGAGUCUUUCGAUGUUGUAGAACUCGAGGCUAGGAAUGACAAGGUCGAGUCCCUUUGGGUUAGGAUCGGCAGGGACAACAAGGCUAGUGUCCUGGUCGGGGUCUUCUAUAGACCCCCGAACCAGGAUGAGGAGACGGAUGAGGAGUUCUACAGGCAGCUGACAGAAGUUGCGAAAUCUUCAGCGCUUGUACUCGUGGGGGACUUCAACUUCCCUGACAUAUCCUGGAAGCACAACACAGCCCAGAGGAAGCAGUCUAGGAAGUUUCUGGAGAGCGUGGAAGAUAGCUUCCUGACACAGCUGGUUAGUGAACCUACCAGGGGUGGUGCCCCGCUAGACCUUCUCUUCACAAACAGAGAAGGACUGGUGGAGGAUGUGAUUGUUGGGAGCUGUCUUGGGCAGAGUGACCACGAAAUGGUGGAGUUCACUAUUCUUGGCGAAGCCAGGAAGGGGACCAGUAAAACCGCUGUAUUGGACUUUCGGAGGGCUGAUUUUGGGCUGCUCAGGACACUAGUUGGAGUCCCUUGGGAGGCAGUUCUGAAGGGCAGAGGGGUCCAGGAAGGCUGGGCGCUCUUCAAGAGGGAAAUCUUAAUGGCGCAGGAGCGGUCUGUCCCCAUGUGCCCAAAGACGAGCCAGCGGGGAAGAAGACCAGCCUGGCUCAACAGAGAACUGUGGCUUGAUCUUAGGAGAAAAAAGAGGAUUUAUAAUCUUUGGAAAAGUGGGCAGGCCACUAGGGAGGACUAUAAGGAUGUUGCAAGGCUCUGCAGGGACAAAAUUAGGAAGGCUAAAGCUCAUCUGGAGCUCAAUCUGGCUACUGCCAUUAAAGAUAACAAAAAACGUUUUUAUAAAUGCAUCAACA
rnacentral:lncRNA from 1 species